UACGUAGGGGGCAAGCGUUGUCCGGAAUCAUUGGGCGUAACAGCGCGUGUAGGCGGCUUGGUAAGUCUGCUCUGAAAGCCCGGGGCUCAACCCCCGGGAGGCGGGUGGAUACUGUCAAGCUCGAGUCCGGAAGAGGAGUGUGGAAUUCCUGGUGUAGCGGUGAAAUGCGCAGAUAUCAGGAGGAACACCAAUGGCGAAGGCAGCACUCUGGGACGUGACUGACGCUGAGACGCGAAAGCGUGGGGAGCAAACAGG
rnacentral:rRNA from 1 species